rnacentral:rRNA from 1 species
UGGGGAAUAUUGGACAAUGGGGGAAACCCUGAUCCAGCAAUGCCGCGUGAGUGAAGAAGGCCUUAGGGUUGUAAAGCUCUUUCAGCGGGGAAGAUGAUGACGGUACCCGCAGAAGAAGCCCCGGCUAACUCCGUGCCAGCAGCCGCGGUAAUACGGAGGGGGCUAGCGUUGUUCGGAAUUACUGGGCGUAAAGCGCACGUAGGCGGUGGCGCAUGUCAGAUGUGAAAGCCCUGGGCUUAACCUAGGAAUUGCAUUUGAAACUGCGUCGCUAGAGGCCGGAAGAGGGUAGUGGAAUUCCCAGUGUAGAGGUGAAAUUCGUAGAUAUUGGGAAGAACACCGGUGGCUAAGGCGGCUACCUGGUCCGGUUCUGACGCUGAGGUGCGAAAGCGUGGGGAGCAAACAGG